rnacentral:misc_RNA from 1 species
CCGAGUUACCCAACUCCAAACCUUUGUGAAUCUACCAUUGUUGCUUCGGCGGACGGCUCCGGGGGAGCCUCAAGCCCUCGCGGGUGUCCGCCGAAAGCCCUAUACUCUUCUGUAUUCCAGGUCUUACCUUCUGAAUGCAAAAACAAACAAGUAA